ACGAUGAUCUCCCGCUUGCGGGGGUGAUUAGUGGCGAACGGGUGAGUAAUACGUGAGUAACCUGCCCUUGACUCUGGGAUAAGCCUGGGAAACCGGGUCUAAUACUGGAUACUACUUCCUGCCGCAUGGUGGGGGGUGGAAAGGGUUUUACUGGUUUUGGAUGGGCUCACGGCCUAUCAGCUUGUUGGUGGGGUAAUGGCUCACCAAGGCGACGACGGGUAGCCGGCCUGAGAGGGUGACCGGCCACACUGGGACUGAGACACGGCCCAGACUCCUACGGGAGGCAGCAGUGGGGAAUAUUGCACAAUGGGCGGAAGCCUGAUGCAGCGACGCCGCGUGAGGGAUGACGGCCUUCGGGUUGUAAACCUCUUUCAGCAGGGAAGAAGCCACAAGUGACGGUACCUGCAGAAGAAGCGCCGGCUAACUACGUGCCAGCAGCCGCGGUAAUACGUAGGGCGCAAGCGUUGUCCGGAAUUAUUGGGCGUAAAGAGCUCGUAGGCGGUUUGUCGCGUCUGCUGUGAAAGCCCGGGGCUCAACCCCGGGUCUGCAGUGGGUA
rnacentral:rRNA from 1 species